rnacentral:sRNA from 1 species
GUUGAGCUUGUAAAAGAUGAAGUUAGCAUCGUGAUCUGGCUGAAAAUUUCAGUGUACAACAACCAAAGCUCCUGCGUAAAAUAUUGUUACGCAGGAGCUUUUUA